rnacentral:rRNA from 1 species
CCUACGGGCGGCAGCAGUGAGGAAUAUUGGUCAAUGGACGAGAGUCUGAACCAGCCAAGUAGCGUGAAGGAUGACUGCCCUAUGGGUUGUAAACUUCUUUUAUAUGGGAAUAAAAUGUUCCACGUGUGGGAUUUUGUAUGUACCAUAUGAAUAAGGAUCGGCUAACUCCGUGCCAGCAGCCGCGGUAAUACGGAGGAUCCGAGCGUUAUCCGGAUUUAUUGGGUUUAAAGGGAGCGUAGGUGGAUUGUUAAGUCAGUUGUGAAAGUUUGCGGCUCAACCGUGAAAUUGCAGUUGAAACUGGCAGUCUUGAGUACAGUAGAGGUAGGCGGAAUGCGUGGUGUAGCGGUGAAAUGCUUAGAUAUCACGAAGAACUCCGAUUGCGAAGGCAGUUCACUGGACUGCAACUGACACUGAGGCUCGAAAGUGUGGGUAUCAAACAGGAUUAGAUACCCGGGUAGUC